UACGUAGGGGGCAAGCGUUGUCCGGAAUUAUUGGGCGUAAAGCGCGCGCAGGCGGUUCAUUAAGUCUUCUGUUUAAGCCCCGGGCUCAACCCGGGUACGCAGAGGAAACUGGUAAACUUGAGUGCAGGAGAGGAAAGUGGAAUUCCACGUGUAGCGGUGAAAUGCGUAGAGAUGUGGAGGAACACCAGUGGCGAAGGCGACUUUCUGGCCUGUAACUGACGCUGAGGCGCGAAAGCGUGGGGAGCAAACAGG
rnacentral:rRNA from 1 species